GUGGUUGGGUGACGAGGGGCAGGGAAGUGCACUGUUUCCUGAGCGUUGUGGAAAGUUGAAGGACUAUCCAUGAUUUUCUGCUUGCUUUCAAUGGAUGCAUUUUCCUAUAACAACAUUUCUAUGACUGGCUUUUGAUACUGUAAUGAUAUUCCAAUAUCUUGGCAAGUUUUUUGGGCUGGCCUGAAUUGUUUAUCAAUUCAGCGAACAGCCAACUCUGUAAGAUUUCAGAGUUUCUAUUGGUUGAAAGAGGCGUAUCCUAGUACAAAGAUUUUGCCUUUACUUUUCUGUUUUAAAUUUUUUUGCAGGCUUUUAAAACAAUCCCAGUUUCAGGACUUCGGUAUGGAUGUUGGGAUUGACAAAAAAUCAGUUAAUUGACGUCACAUUUCUGAGAAGACUAAGAAUUACGUGAAGGAGAGCUCAGAAUGCAUCGAAACUGUUUAUUUGUGAACAGAAGGUAUAGUCAUGCUUUAAUUUUUAUUUUCAUGGCUUCAUCUUGAAGUACUUCCACUUUCUUCUAGUUCACUUAUUUUGCUCUCUUCUUUCAUCCUAGUGUCCCAUUUCAUUACACUGUUUAACAGUCUUUAUUCAAAGCAAGCAUCUUAUAUGCAAAGUACCAAUUUUUAAAUUCAUGUAUGGACUGACCCAAGGAAGAGAGGAUUUGCUAUCACUCUAAUUAAUAUUUUUGAAUUCUGAAUUCUUUAUUACAUAUUUGUAUAGAUCAAUGAAGCAAAGAAAUGUGCUCAAGAGAAAAAGAGACAAAGUAAGAUUCUUUGUGAUGAAGCACAUAAAUUUAAGGUAAAAAUACCUUCUUUUCCUGACAUUACACUCUAAAAACAGAAGUAAAAGUAAUGAGUAAGUAUUGCUAACCUCUAUAUGUUUUGUUGAAGAAUAACAUCAAAUCACUUGAAAGUACUAAUGAAAUCGUUAAUGACAUAAUUCAAAGUGUACGUGCUAGGUUGCAAUCAGAGGGAGAUUGGAACGUCAAGAAUUAGGACUUGGUGAGAGUUCUGCUACUAAGUUAUUACCAUAGUUUGACUUUUGAGCAUUUUUGAUCCUUGGGAGA
rnacentral:lncRNA from 1 species